UAUGUUAAGUGGAAAAGGAUGUGGCGUUGCCCAGACAACUAGGAUGUUGGCUUAGAAGCAGCCAUCAUUUAAAGAGUGCGUAAUAGCUCACUAGUCGAGUGACACUGCGCCGAAAAUGUACCGGGGCUAAACAUAUUACCGAAGCUGUGGAUUGUCCUUUGGACAAUGGUAGGAGAGCGUUCUAAGGGCGUUGAAGCAUGAUCGUAAGGACAUGUGGAGCGCUUAGAAGUGAGAAUGCCGGUGUGAGUAGCGAAAGACGGGUGAGAAUCCCGUCCACCGAUUGACUAAGGUUUCCAGAGGAAGGCUCGUCCGCUCUGGGUUAGUCGGGUCCUAAGCUGAGGCCGACAGGCGUAGGCGAUGGAUAACAGGUUGAUAUUCCUGUACCACCUAUAAUCGUUUUAAUCGAUGGGGGGACGCAGUAGGAUAGGCGAAGCGUGCGAUUGGAUUGCACGUCUAAGCAGUAAGGCUGAGUAUUAGGCAAAUCCGGUACUCGUUAAGGCUGAGCUGUGAUGGGGAGAAGACAUUGUGUCUUCGAGUCGUUGAUUUCACACUGCCGAGAAAAGCCUCUAGAUAGAAAAUAGGUGCCCGUACCGCAAACCGACACAGGUAGUCAAGAUGAGAAUUCUAAGGUGAGCGAGCGAACUCUCGUUAAGGAACUCGGCAAAAUGACCCCGUAACUUCGGGAGAAGGGGUGCUCUUUAGGGUUAACGCCCAGAAGAGCCGCAGUGAAUAGGCCCAAGCGACUGUUUAUCAAAAACACAGGUCUCUGCUAAACCGUAAGGUGAUGUAUAGGGGCUGACGCCUGCCCGGUGCUGGAAGGUUAAGAGGAGUGGUUAGCUUCUGCGAAGCUACGAAUCGAAGCCCCAGUAAACGGCGGCCGUAACUAUAACGGUCCUAAGGUAGCGAAAUUCCUUGUCGGGUAAGUUCCGACCCGCACGAAAGGCGUAACGAUUUGGGCACUGUCUCAACGAGAGACUCGGUGAAAUCAUAGUACCUGUGAAGAUGCAGGUUACCCGCGACAGGACGGAAAGACCCCGUGGAGCUUUACUGUAGCCUGAUAUUGAAAUUCGGCACAGCUUGUACAGGAUAGGUAGGAGCCUUUGAAACGUGAGCGCUAGCUUACGUGGAGGCGCUGGUGGGAUACUACCCUAGCUGUGUUGGCUUUCUAACCCGCACCACUUAUCGUGGUGGGAGACAGUGUCAGGCGGGCAGUUUGACUGGGGCGGUCGCCUCCUAAAAGGUAACGGAGGCGCUCAAAGGUUCCCUCAGAAUGGUUGGAAAUCAUUCAUAGAGUGUAAAGGCAUAAGGGAGCUUGACUGCGAGACCUACAAGUCGAGCAGGGUCGAAAGACGGACUUAGUGAUCCGGUGGUUCCGCAUGGAAGGGCCAUCGCUCAACGGAUAAAAGCUACCCCGGGGAUAACAGGCUUAUCUCCCCCAAGAGUUCACAUCGACGGGGAGGUUUGGCACCUCGAUGUCGGCUCAUCGCAUCCUGGGGCUGUAGUCGGUCCCAAGGGUUGGGCUGUUCGCCCAUUAAAGCGGUACGCGAGCUGGGUUCAGAACGUCGUGAGACAGUUCGGUCCCUAUCCGUCGUGGGCGUAGGAAAUUUGAGAGGAGCUGUCCUUAGUACGAGAGGACCGGGAUGGACAUACCUCUGGUGUACCAGUUGUCGUGCCAACGGCAUAGCUGGGUAGCUAUGUGUGGACGGGAUAAGUGCUGAAAGCAUCUAAGCAUGAAGCCCCCCUCAAGAUGAGAUUUCCCAACUUCGGUUAUAAGAUCCCUCAAAGAUGAUGAGGUUAAUAGGUUCGAGGUGGAAGCAUGGUGACAUGUGGAGCUGACGAAUACUAAUCGAUCGAAGACUUAAUCAA
rnacentral:rRNA from 1 species